rnacentral:rRNA from 1 species
UACGUAGGGGCCAAGCGUUGUCCGGAUUUAUUGGGCGUAAAGAGCUCGUAGGUGGUUCGGCAAGUCAGUUGUGAAAUCUCCGCGCUCAACGCGGAGGGGUCAGCUGAAACUGCUGUGACUUGAGUCUGGUAGGGGAGUGUGGAAUUCCCGGUGUAGCGGUGAAAUUCGUAGAUAUUCGGAGGAACACCAGUGGCGAAGGCGGCUCACUGGCUCGAUACUGACGCUGAGGUGCGAAAGCGUGGGGAGCAAACAGG